rnacentral:rRNA from 1 species
UUGGAGGGCAAGUCUGGUGCCAGCAGCCGCGGUAAUUCCAGCUCCAAUAGCGUAUAUUAAAGUUGUUGCAGUUAAAAAGCUCAUAGUUGAAUUUCGGGAUUAGUACGCUGGUCGUGCCUUCGGUAUGUACUGGUGUUACUGGUUCCUACCUUCUGACGAACCGUCAUGUCAUUAAUUUGGUGUGGCGGGGAAUCAGGACUGUUACUUUGAAAAAAUUAGAGUGUUUAAAGCAGGCUCGCGCUUGAAUACAUUAGCAUGGAAUAAUGAAAUAGGACGUUCGAUCCCAUUUUGUUGGUUUCUAGGAUUGACGUAAUGAUUAAUAGGGAUAGUUGGGGGCAUUAGUAUUCAAUUGUCAGAGGUGAAAUUCUUGGAUUUAUUGAAGACUAACUACUGCGAAAGCAUUUGCCAAGGAUGUUUUCAUUAAUCAAGAACGAAAGUUAGGGGAUCGAAGACGAUCAGAUACCGUCGUAGUCUUAACCAUAAACUAUGCCGACUAGGGAUCGGAUGAUGUUAUUUUUAAUGACUCAUUCGGCGCCUUACGGGAAAC